GCAGGGGUGGCCACUGAGUUCCAUGGAUGGAAGCAGCACUGGGUCAUUGCUGUGGGACCCAGGAGAUGCUGGAAUUUCUUGGCCCUCUGUUGGACCCAAGCGCUGGCUUCUGCUUUCUGCCAGAACAAAACUUCUACUUCCCACCACUCUGCAGAGUCCCCAAGGCCGCCCUGGGCCAGAUGCUCCCCCAGAUGGUGAGCACAGGUGGACGGGGGCCACACCUGGCCAUGAGCUUCCAAUCAAGGACUGGGGACCAAGACAGGGGCCACGCAGCCGGGAGGCUCCAUCGCUCUGGAAGUCAUGGCAGGAGGGACAGUUGGUUAGAAGAACUUGAACUGGAAGCAAGCGAGACUGCAGGGGCAGCAAGGAGGGCUGCAGAGCUGCCAAGGCAGAGCCUGCAGAGGGGACAAACACUGGGUGCUCACAUGGCGGAAGGUACCAAGGAUGAGAACAAAAAAGGCCUGGUCGGCUCCCUCCAGUCCCAGUACGGGUGCUGAUCCAUCCCUCAAGAUGAGGUCCUCAUGACCUAGCACAUCCUAAUGGACCCACCUGGUCCUACUGUCACAGUGCCAAUUAAGUUUCAGUGCAGGAAUUUGGGGACACACUGAGACCCUAGCACUGGAGUGAACAUAAGACCCCCCAGUGGCCCACCUGGCCCGGCUCAGUCAGAUGGGGGCUAUGUGGGCCAGGGCAAGUCCCCCGGGGAGCUCAGGGAGCCAGGAUGCGCUGAGGCCAUGGGUCCCCGCUCUUCUCACCAGCCUUUGUCCAACUCAGCCCUCCUUCCAGGUGUGUGGAAAAGCUCUCUAACUCCUUCCGGCCUCUAGAUGAAUUUGUUCUGUUCCAGAGCGGCUCUGUCAUCCUACACCGAUGACUCCAGCUGUUCUUGACACUUGUUUCUACAUUGAUUUUCCUCUCCCAAAGACUGGAAAGGAAAAGUCAAGUAGAACUGUCUUUGGCCUUGGUGGUUCGUAAUCUCGGGCCAAUAUGAAAGACAUGCAGACUUGUACUCAGAGAGGCUAAGGUAGGAGGAUUACAGAUUUGAGCCCAGCUUGGGC
rnacentral:lncRNA from 1 species